rnacentral:misc_RNA from 1 species
ACCCUUGACCACGGUAUAGUCAGCGACUGGGGUGAAGUCGUAACAAGGUAGCCGUAGGGGAACCUGCGGCUGGAUUACCUCCUUUCUAAGGAUGAAUGAAAGUAAAAUUUUAUUCUAAAUAAUAUACAUCGGUAAUGUUGACCGUCCUCAUUUCUCUUCUUAAAGUAAUGUUUCCUUCUUGUAGGGCCGGUAGCUCAGUUGGUUAGAGCACACCCUUGAUAAGGGUGGGGUCGAAAGUUCGAGUCUUUCUCGGCCCACCACACUUAACUGGGGGAUUAGCUCAGCUGGGAGAGCGCCUGAUUUGCAUUCAGGAGGUCAGCGGUUCGAUCCCGCUAUCCUCCACCAGGAAACAUUUAGUUAUAAAAACUGUAAAUAAAUUUAAUAAUUAAUAUCAAUAUCUAUAUCCGAACAUUAGUAAUGUUAUUAGCUAAUGUUCAAAAUAAAAAUUUGAUUCAACACAGAAUUUUUUUCUGUGCAUAAAUUAAGCGUUUAAGGGCGUGUAGUGGAUGCCUUGGCACUGAAAGCCGAUGAAGGACGUGAUAUACUGCGAUAAGUUUCGGGGAGCUGUAUGUAAGUUUUGAUCCGAAAAUUU